ACCACCCGAGUUGUUUAUGGGCUAUUUAUAGAGUGUCGCUUUCACUUGGAACCAAAUGCUUUUAUCCCUUCACAACCCCACGUGUACGUACUUUUAAAACACUUAACUCUGUUCCGCUUUGUUUUGGGUUGGUUCAGUUCUGGUUUUGUCUUGGGGGAGGCGUGUGUUGAUCGGGGAAUGGGAGAAGGGGUUUAAGAAAGAGAAAAUCACCCGGAUUAUGGAUGUGAACUGCGCCAAAGUAUGAUUCUGCCAAAGCGACGUGCUUUCUUCAGUUGAAGGAGACGGUUUUGGAAGAGAUGUGUCUGUUCCUCAUCUGGGUGGAAGUCACUUAUUUCCACUAAUUUUCAACAUUACUUUCCCAUUUUUGUUUUUCGGCGCUAUUUUUGACAGAAGAUUGCCAUACUUGAGUUGUCAACCACGUACGGAAGCUUUUAAGUCCUUUUAAAUUUUCCAACGCCAGGCUUUGUCGGAGGCCACAGCCCCCUUGGAUUUCCCGGACCUGCCCGAGAUCAGGAAGCUGGUGAUAAACGGCGAGUCGUUGAGGGCGAGGAGAGCUUGUGCCCUGGGUACUGAACUUACCGAGCCACCGGAAAAUGACAUCAGACCUCUCUUGUAGGAGGGACGUGCCCGGAGCCUGCUCUGCAUUGUCAGUCUGCGUGGACUCGUGUGGCCGCUCCCCCGGGGGGAUUAUUUCCGCCGAGAUGAGCUCCGUGGGAGGCGUUUCAUCACCCGCCCUCCAGCAGCCACUGCACCUGUAGCCCCGCACCGGGCCCUCAGGAGAUGGGCCCCCAGACCCCCGGCCUGAGCGUGUGUCCCAGGGAAGCGCAAGGGAGGGCGUGCUGAGAUCCAGGCAUUUGGAAUAAUUUCACCGGCGCUGAGAUGUCUUCUGUCCGCCCUGCCCCGUAUCCUCCCCCCUCCCUCCGUUCCCCUUCGCACACGUCCAAACACACAGCUCCUCGGAAGUCUUCCCGAAUAUGCCAUUCUCCAGAUCGGCUUUUGAAUAUGAAUGCAGGGAGCACUCGUGAUGUUUUUCCACCCUCGGAGCCGGUUGAUUUAUGGCCCGGAUUACUGGAAACAGUAAUUCUCCGCUCUUUAUGAUGUUUUGGUGGAAGGUGCCGUAGCCUGCGGUCAGAACAGUAUGAUUUCAACUAGGUUUUUACAAAAAGGUCUCUGCAGUGAGGGUGGCUGUGAAUUGUACAGCUUCUGUAACAGAGCAGUUAAUAAGACACCAGCACAUUAAUCAUGUGACAGCUAUUGGGUUUAGCAGGGAAAGGCAGUGGCUUUUGAAAACAGCAAUUUAGGUUACUACUGUGUUGAAAGAGGUUGGCUGAACACCCUGUUUUUAACCCGUGGUUAACAGUUAAAUGGUGCUGGUCGUUUUUCCGGACAUCUGGAAAUUCGCGUUUGAUUCCGGACAUCAAAAUUCGCGUGUCUGGAAUUUUCAGUCAGCGUGAUGAACUAAUCGACCUCUUCCGUUAUCUCCCAUCCUGGAGACCCAGAAAUGUGUUGAGGAACAAGCCAGAAACCAGCUCUGGCAAUUCUAUAACCAGUCUCACAGCAAGGUAAGCAGCAAACCAAAGCCUUGUCUGCGAGUGAAACUGGUAACAGAUCAUAAGUGAGCUGAGGAAGUCUGGCCUGUCGAGAGGUUGGCACCGAAAAAUGUAUCAGAAUUUCUGUGCUUUGAACCCAUCAAGAUGCAUGGUGUAGAGCUCCAGAAAUAAAAUGAGAGGGACUUCGUGAAUCUGUUGCUAGAAAACAACAGUUACCCGUGCCAAUAUCCUAAGAAACGAAAACAUUACCUUUUGAGAUGAAACAGCGAUUAACGUUCUUGUUUUUGUUUUUUUUUUUUUUACUCGUUUAUAUUGCCUUUCUCUAAUGAAAUAAAUGAAGUUGCGUCUAUUGGGCAAUUAUAAUCCACGAGAGGCCACGAAAGUACAGUGGGAAUAAACCCUGCCUUUUGUUCUGAAGGAGAGUUACGUGUGAUAAUGAAUCACUUAAAAGAAACCAGUCUGUUGGGGGUGUUAAAAUCACAGCUGCUGACGCCAGACCUGCCCGCCUCCAAGUUGGGGUUCCAAGUCUCACUUUUAGCAUUAGGCGAACUGGUAUACAAUCCCUUUGUGCCCUGGUUUCUUGGCUGUUUAAAAUGUGCACAAUAGCAGGACACCCAUGCAUGGCGUUGCCGUGAGGAUUAAGGGAAUAUUACGACGCGAGGAAUCAUUGAAAACAAAAAGUGUAGAUACCUUUCAUCUAGUGGGCUCUCAGGAGGUAAGUUUGGCGUAUCUAUAUUACAGAUUAUCAUCUGCUAAUUAAAGAUGCUGGCGUAUUGUGGACUUAGGGGCAAAGGAAAACGUUCAUGACAUACUGUCCAGGGUGGAAAAGCUACAAAACAGCUUUUUACGAACACAUCGUGCAUGUGCAAAUCCUCAGCAGAGUGUAGUUUUUAAAAGUACACACAGUAGGUGUUUUUGUUGUCUAUCAAGAUGGCGAGAAUUCACACAUAGAAUCAGCAUCUGACGUUGGCCAUGGCGUUAGAAUUAGACAACGGGCACAUACCCUGCACAGUUGGCGAAGAAUAUAUUAGGGCAUCUUUCCUGGAGAGCAACUGGAAAUAGCUGUCCAAUGCCUUACACCUGACCUUUGGCCUAUCAGGCACACUUCCCCGAUUUUUGCUAAGAAAAUCAUCACUGAUACGUGGAAAGGUGCAUUUAUGCAAUGGGAUACUCCACCCCAAUAUAAAUGAUACACACAGUGACAUAGAUGAAUCUCAAAGUCCUAAAACUUGGCAAGAGGAACCAGGCGAAAGAAUACCCAUCUAUAUAACUAUAAAAUAUAUUAUAAUGAAAUACAAUUAUGUAAAUGUAAUAAUUAACGCAUAAAAUGUAUUAUGAUGAAGAUAAAAGUAUUUUAUGUCAUUAUAUAAUAUGACACUAUUACAAUUUAAAAACCACUAUUUGUUUCAUAAAGAUCGAAAGCAGUCAAAACUAACCCCAAAGUGCCAGAAGUCAGGACGGCAGUUCUCUCUUGGAGAAGAAGUGAUAGUGGGAAACAGGUCAAGAGGAAGCUGUGGAAUGUUUCUUUCUCUUGAUCUAAGUUGUGGACACAAAAGUAACAUUGUUGUACAAACAAGGAAAAUCUUAACUAUUUGUUAACUGUGGUCCCCUUAAGUCAAUUAAAAAAUUUUUUUUCAUGUUUAUUUAUU